GCCAGCACAGUGCAGUGGUUUGAGCGCUGGACUAAGGCUCUGGAGAUCAGGGUUCGAUUCCUUGCUCGGA